rnacentral:rRNA from 1 species
CCUCCUCCCACCCGUGUUUACUGUACCUUAGUUGCUUCGGCGGGCCCGCCAUUCAUGGCCGCCGGGGGCUCUCAGCCCCGGGCCCGCGCCCGCCGGAGACACCACGAACUCUGUCUGAUCUAGUGAAGUCUGAGUUGAUUGUAUCGCAAUCAGUUAAAACUUUCAACAAUGGAUCUCUUGGUUCCGGCAUCGAUGAAGAACGCAGCGAAAUGCGAUAACUAGUGUGAAUUGCAGAAUUCCGUGAAUCAUCGAGUCUUUGAACGCACAUUGCGCCCCCUGGUAUUCCGGGGGGCAUGCCUGUCCGAGCGUCAUUGCUGCCCAUCAAGCACGGCUUGUGUGUUGGGUCGUCGUCCCCUCUCCGGGGGGGACGGGCCCCAAAGGCAGCGGCGGCACCGCGUCCGAUCCUCGAGCGUAUGGGGCUUUGUCACCCGCUCUGUAGGCCCGGCCGGCGCUUGCCGAACGCAAAUCAAUCUUUUUCCAGGUUGACCUCGGAUCAGGUAGGGAUACCCGCUGAACUUAAGCAUAUCAAUAAUCGGAGG